UCCAAAGCUUGGAAGCUCAAAUAGUGGUGUUUUUAGGCUAAGAUCAAACAUCUAAGGAGAUAAAUACCAGGAAGAUUUUGGGGGCGAUAAAAAAUUGUUUGUGAUGGAGCUACAUCUUCGAUAUCUAUAUAACCCCCCCACCUGCAUAAACAAAGAGACCAAUGACACAACAGCGGCGGCAGCAGUACUGGUUCAAUGCCUUGUCAUUACACUAGAAGGAAAAUGCAAUGGUAAUUGGGAGGAAUAAUACCCAAUCAUGGAUGUAAAGACCAUGCAAUGGGAUUUCAAUACUUGCCCCAGUGUGGACUGUGUAUCUCGGAGAAGCUAGUGAACUUGCCCAAGAAGAUGGCAGAGCAGCACAUACCUUAUGGGGCAGUAUGUGCCUCCUCAAGUCUUGCCUUGGAUCCCCAUGGCUUGCUGGAGGUAUUUUAUCAUGUUAAUAUCAACUUUACUUGCUUGGAGAAUUUUUUUUUUUAUAACUUUGUAAAUCUGACUGCCAUGUCAAACAAAUUAUGAACUUAGAACUACCUCAAAAACCAUAGUCUAGUGCGGUUCUAUGAAGCAAUUUCUGGAAAGGUGAUUCAGUUAGGGUUCCUAUGUGUUUUGCAUUAGGCAGUUGCUAUUUAGAUUUAAACAUGCACUAUUGGGCUUGACAACCUUGUGCUUUUAUAUGGA